AGCGAACGCUGGCGGCAGGCCUAACACAUGCAAGUCGAACGAACCUUUCGGGGUUAGUGGCGGACGGGUGAGUAACACGUGGGAACGUGCCUUUAGGUUCGGAAUAACUCAGGGAAACUUGUGCUAAUACCGAAUGUGCCCUUCGGGGGAAAGAUUUAUCGCCUUUAGAGCGGCCCGCGUCUGAUUAGCUAGUUGGUUGAGGUAAUGGCUCACCAAGGCGACGAUCAGUAGCUGGUCUGAGAGGAUGAUCAGCCACAUUGGGACUGAGACACGGCCCAAACUCCUACGGGAGGCAGCAGUGGGGAAUCUUGCGCAAUGGGCGAAAGCCUGACGCAGCCAUGCCGCGUGAAUGAUGAAGGUCUUAGGAUUGUAAAGUUCUUUCAGCGGGGACGAUAAUGACGGUACCCGGAGAAGAAGCCCCGGCUAACUUCGUG
rnacentral:rRNA from 1 species